rnacentral:rRNA from 1 species
UACGUAGGGUGCAAGCGUUAAUCGGAAUUACUGGGCGUAAAGCGUUGCGCAGGCGGCGCGUUAAGACAGGUGUGAAAGCCCCGAGCUUAACUUGGGAAUUGUCGCUUGUGACUGGCGUGCUGGAGUGUGGCAGAGGGAGGUGGAAAUUCCACGUGUAGCAGUGAAAUGCGUAGAGAUGUGGAGGAACACCGAUGGCGAAGGCAGCCUCCUGGGCCAGCAC